rnacentral:rRNA from 1 species
GUGGGGAAUAUUGGGCAAUGGGGGCAACCCUGACCCAGCGACGCCGCGUGAGGGAAGAAGGCCUUAGGGUCGUAAACCUCUGUUGUGUGGGAAGAAGGAAGUGACGGUACCACACGAGGAAGUCCCGGCUAACUACGUGCCAGCAGCCGCGGUAAUACGUAGGGGACGAGCGUUGUCCGGAAUUACUGGGCGUAAAGGGCGCGUAGGCGGUCAUUUAAGUCAGCUGUGAAAUGGUCCGGCUCAACCGGAUCAUGCGGUUGAAACUGGAUGACUGGAGUGCUGGAGAGGCAAGUGGAAUUCCUAGUGUAGCGGUGAAAUGCGUAGAUAUUAGGAGGAACACCAGUGGCGAAGGCGACUUUCUGGACUGUAACUGACGCUGAGGCUCGAAAGCCAGGGGAGCGAACGGGAUUAGAAACCCCGGUAGUCC